rnacentral:rRNA from 1 species
GAUGAACGCUGGCGGCGUGCCUAAUACAUGCAAGUCGAGCGAACAGACGAGGAGCUUGCUCCUUCGACGUUAGCGGCGGACGGGUGAGUAACACGUAGGUAACCUACCUAUAAGACUGGGAUAACUUCGGGAAACCGGAGCUAAUACCGGAUAAUAUUUCGAACCGCAUGGUUCGAUAGUGAAAGAUGGCUUUGCUAUCACUUAUAGAUGGACCUGCGCCGUAUUAGCUAGUUGGUAAGGUAACGGCUUACCAAGGCAACGAUACGUAGCCGACCUGAGAGGGCGAUCGGCCACACUGGAACUGAGACACGGCCCAGACUCCUACGGGAGGCAGCAGUAGGGAAUCUUCCGCAAUGGGCGAAAGCCUGACGGAGCAACGCCGCGUGAGUGAUGAAGGUCUUCGGAUCGUAAAACUCUGUUAUUAGGGAAGAACAAACGUGUAAGUAACUGUGCACGUCUUGACGGUACCUAAUCAGAAAGCCACGGCUAACUACGUG